rnacentral:rRNA from 1 species
GAUGAACGCUAGCGGCAGGCCUAACACAUGCAAGUCGAGGGGUAUAGGGAGCUUGCUUCCUAGAGACCGGCGCACGGGUGCGUAACGCGUAUGCAAUCUACCCUGUACAGGGGAAUAGCCCAGAGAAAUUUGGAUUAAUGCCCCAUAGUAUUAUUAAAUGGCAUCCUUUAAUAAUUAAAGUUCCAACGGUACAAGAUGAGCAUGCGUCCUAUUAGUUAGUUGGUGUGGUAACGGCAUACCAAGACGAUGAUAGGUAGGGGUCCUGAGAGGGAGAUCCCCCACACUGGUACUGAGACACGGACCAGACUCCUACGGGAGGCAGCAGUAGGGAAUCUUCCGCAAUGGACGAAAGUCUGACGGAGCAACGCCGCGUGAGUGAUGAAGGUUUUCGGAUCGUAAAACUCUGUUGUUAGGGAAGAACAAGUGCCGUUCGAAAGGGCGGCACCUUGACGGUACCUAACGAGAAAGCCACGGCUAACUACGUGCCAGCAGCCGCGGUAAAGU